rnacentral:rRNA from 1 species
UACAGAGGGUGCAAGCGUUGUUCGGAAUCAUUGGGCGUAAAGGGUGCGUAGGCGGCGCGGUAAGUCGGGUGUGAAAUCUUGGAGCUUAACUCCGAAACUGCAUUCGAUACUGCCGUGCUUGAGGACUGGAGAGGAGACUGGAAUUUACGGUGUAGCGGUGAAAUGCGUAGAUAUCGUAAGGAAGACCAGUGGCGAAGGCGGGUCUCUGGACAGUUCCUGACGCUGAGGCACGAAGGCCAGGGGAGCAAACGGG